rnacentral:tRNA from 1 species
GCGGGCGUGGCGGAAUUGGCUUACGCGCUAGAUUUGGAAUCUAGUUUGGGAUGCCCCCUCGGAAGGUCUACAUCUCAUUGCGAGUUCAAACCUCGUCGCCCGCACCA